AUCCAGCUGACAAGUUUUAAAUAGGACGAAACUAGUGUCCUGUAU
rnacentral:hammerhead_ribozyme from 1 species